rnacentral:rRNA from 1 species
UGGGGAAUUUUCCGCAAUGGGCGAAAGCCUGACGGAGCAAUACCGCGUGCGGGAGGAAGGCCUUUGGGUCGUAAACCGCUUUUAACAGGGAAGAAGAUCUGACGGUACCUGUUGAAUAAGCCUCGGCUAACUCCGUGCCAGCAGCCGCGGUAAGACGGAGGAGGCAAGCGUUAUCCGGAAUUAUUGGGCGUAAAGCGUCCGCAGGUGGCCUAUCAAGUCUGUUGUUAAAGCCCAGGGCUCAACUCUGGAUCAGCAAUGGAAACUGAAAGGCUAGAGUACGGUAGGGGUAGAGGGAAUUCCCAGUGUAGCGGUGAAAUGCGUGGAUAUUGGGAAGAACACCAGUGGCGAAGGCGCUCUGCUGGGCCGUAACUGACACUCAUGGACGAAAGCUA